rnacentral:tRNA from 1 species
GGAGAGGUGCCGGAGUCAGGCCGAUCGGACCGCACUGCUAAUGCGGGGUCCACGUCAAGUGGACCGCGGGUUCAAAUCCCGCCCUCUCCGCCA